ACUAAACCAUGAAGUUUCAAUAGCCAAUGUUAACAUGAUAUCUAAAUUAACAACCUUAAAUAUGAAAGAAAAAUACAAAAAUCAACUACUGAUCCAACCAAGUGACCAGUUUAUGAAACUAAACUAGUUUAGAUCCUAAUACCUAUGAAAUUCUUCCUAAACCAUUGUUCAUUCAACAAAUCCCAUAAUAACCAUAUAAGCUGAAAGAAAAUAAACUAAGAAUAGACAUAGAAAUUCAAGAAAAUACAUAUAGGAGGAACUGAUAGUCCUUGAUUCAUUCAUUAACAUUUUCAUUACAACUACGUAUAUCAAAAUACUUCUGUACUUCAGCAGUCAUCACAAUCCGAGAAAAUACCUGGAAACCAAGAGCAAAGUGAAGAAAACAAAGAAGUUCAGUGAAGCAAAGCAAGCAAAGAAGCAGCAAAUGAUCAGCUAGCAAACAGCUUCAGCUCAAACCCAUAUUGAAAUCAGAAAUCCGUAAAAGAAGAACUUCAGAGUGUGUUUUUUCUUUCAGGAAGGAAAAUCAGAAGUGAAAAACCACUCAACUCUCUCACACAAUGCAGAAAUUUUGUAUAUUUUCUAUCGGUUCCAAUGUCUCUCCCAAAAAAAUGAAGGGAAAGAGUCCUUAAAUAGGCACUUCUAAGGCAGCCCUAGCCUGGUUUUCUAAUUCCCCUUCUACCCCUUAUUCUUAGUUAUUUUACCCUUUUUAACCCUUCAAAUAUAUCUGAAACCUCCCUUCUCUUAACAAACCAGCCCCAACCUUAUCCUCUAGAAGCUUCCCCCAACAGAAAAAUAUUCCCUCAAACCCCAAAUACCCAAAUUAACCCCUGACACCCCUAUAAUUACCUUCCUAGCCUAAACCAAUGCAGGCCAUCUGAUUCCCAAACUUGGGCCCAAACGAGCAGGCUUCUAAUGUCUAGGUCUGGCUUACCAUAAGACGACAUCAAACCAGUAAAGAAAUGAACAAUUAAACCAAAACCAAAAAGAACUUAAAUUAACAGUAAACAUGAACUUAACCAAUUAAAACCCAAAAGUAAUGAACUUAAAAAUACUGAUUAAUUUAAGAUAUAAUUGGUUAAAGAAAAAAAAGGAAAAGAGAAGAAUAGGGAACCUAAUAGAACAGUAAAACUAGACAGAUUGGUAACAUUUAAACUAUCCCAACAGAGAUCUAACUUAAUCAAAGAAACAAAAAAGAAAUUAACCUACUGACUUGAACAAACACAUAGCAGAAACAAAUAAUCAAGCAAAUGGUCGAAAUGAAGCCAGAGUCAGGAGGCAAAUAUAGCAAAGGUAAAGAGGAAAUGAUGAGAUAUGGGCUAACCGGAAAGUGGCUUGGUAAUGGAAUCCAAGCAAUGGCCCAGAAGGCGGAGAAGCAGUGAUUGACCAACGUAGCUGGCUCUCAAAAUCGAACCAAAACUCGUGUUAAUCAAGGGCUCCGGAUGAGAACUCUUGGUUAACACUAGUCUUGAGCCAUAUUGAACUUCGAAAGGUGAAGAAACAGUCUCAGCAGAAACUAGGGUUUUGUUUUUCAAUUUUCAGAUCCAAAAUUGGGGGUGCUUGAAAGUGUUUUGGGGAAUUUUGGUGAUGGAUUUGGGCGAUGAGGGGACAGGGUCGCCUUGCAUCAAUUUGGGGGUGUUUGAAGGGAUUAGGGUUUGGGAUCCGAUCUUCAAUCUAAAAUUCAAACGGCUUGAUGAUGAUUUGAAGGAGAAAUUUGGGAUGAGGAGAUAAAGGGGAUUCCGGGGUGUUAAAUUGGUGGUGUUUGGGAUGGUCUGAGACGUCGCCGCCGACGGAGACGGUGGGGAACUUUAGGGCAGCGGCUAGGGUUUUCAGUCUCUGAACUUAGAGAUGAGGAAUGAGGGGGAAGUGGAAUGGGGGAUGCCUUGGGUUCAGACAGUUAAAUAUCAAAGGGAACCUUAAUUCCCAACCGUUUGAUCAAUGGAGAUCAACGGCUGGGAUUUUAAGGGGGGAAAUGACGUCGUUCAACUAACAUGGAGGAAAUUGGAUCGGGUAUAGAGCAUUGGGCCCGGGUUUGGAGUUCAUUUGGGUGGGGAGUUGAGCUCAAUUUAAACAACCCCCUUUUUCCUAAUUCUCUUCUUCCUU
rnacentral:lncRNA from 1 species